rnacentral:rRNA from 1 species
UACGGAGGAGGCAAGCGUUAUCCGGAAUUAUUGGGCGUAAAGCGUCCGCAGGUGGCGAUUCAAGUCUGCGGUUAAAGACUGGGGCUUAACCCUGGAAAGGCCGUGGAAACUGAAACGCUAGAGUGCAGUAGGGGUAGAGGGAAUUCCCGGUGUAGCGGUGAAAUGACGUAGAGCUCGGGAAGAACAUCGGUGGCGAAAGCGCUCUGCUGGACUGCAACUGACACUCAGGGACGAAAGCUAGGGGAGCGAAUGGG